rnacentral:rRNA from 1 species
GUGGGGAAUAUUGGACAAUGGGCGAAAGCCUGAUCCAGCCAUGCCGCGUGUGUGAAGAAGGUCUUCGGAUUGUAAAGCACUUUAAGUUGGGAGGAAGGGCAGUAAGUUAAUACCUUGCUGUUUUGACGUUACCGACAGAAUAAGCACCGGCUAACUUCGUGCCAGCAGCCGCGGUAAUACGAAGGGUGCAAGCGUUAAUCGGAAUUACUGGGCGUAAAGCGCGCGUAGGUGGUUUUGUAAGUUGGAGGUGAAAUCCCCGGGCUCAACCUGGGAACUGCCUCCAAAACUGCAUAACUAGAGUACGGUAGAGGGUAGUGGAAUUUCCUGUGUAGCGGUGAAAUGCGUAGAUAUAGGAAGGAACACCAGUGGCGAAGGCGACUACCUGGACUGAUACUGACACUGAGGUGCGAAAGCGUGGGGAGAAACAGGAUUAGAUACCCCUGUAGUCC